rnacentral:lncRNA from 1 species
CAUGUUCGAGUAUAUUGGAAAAGUGAUAAAUGUGUACCCAUACAUAACCGUUAUGUGUUUAGGUGUAUGAAAAAAUAGUCUAAUCUAUGUGCCCUAACUAUUCUGUGUUCGAGGGGUAGCAGUGUUUCAAGGUACUCAUGUAUGUCAUUUAGUUUUGGAGUAUAUGGGGAACUAGUGAUAAGUAUGUGUGCCUACGUAUAAUGUACGGUAAUUUAUUAAUCCUCCAUAAUAGUGAUGAAAUAUAUAAUGAAAUAAUUGUGAAUCUAUUUUUUAAUUUGUGUAUUCGUCUUCUUAUUCGUGUAUCUAUUUUGGAAAGAUUAUAUGAUAUAUGUUUUGUUAUGUGUAAAGAAACUAUAUACU